rnacentral:rRNA from 1 species
AGAGUUUGAUCAUGGCUCAGGAUGAACGCUGGCGGCGUGCCUAAUACAUGCAAGUCGAGCGAACAGAUAAGGAGCUUGCUCCUUUGACGUUAGCGGCGGACGGGUGAGUAACACGUGGGUAACCUACCUAUAAGACUGGGAUAACUUCGGGAAACCGGAGCUAAUACCGGAUAACAUUUGGAACCGCAUGGUUCUAAAGUGAAAGAUGGUUUUGCUAUCACUUAUAGAUGGACCCGCGCCGUAUUAGCUAGUUGGUAAGGUAACGGCUUACCAAGGCGACGAUACGUAGCCGACCUGAGAGGGUGAUCGGCCACACUGGAACUGAGACACGGUCCAGACUCCUACGGGAGGCAGCAGUAGGGAAUCUUCCGCAAUGGGCGAAAGCCUGACGGAGCAACGCCGCGUGAGUGAUGAAGGGUUUCGGCUCGUAAAACUCUGUUAUUAGGGAAGAACAAACGUGUAAGUAACUGUGCACGUCUUGACGGUACCUAAUCAGAAAGCCACGGCUAACUACGUGCCAGCAGCCGCGGUAAUACGUAGGUGGCAAGCGUUAUCCGGAAUUAUUGGGCGUAAAGCGCGCGUAGGCGGUUUCUUAAGUCUGAUGUGAAAGCCCACGGCUCAACCGUGGAGGGUCAUUGGAAACUGGGAAACUUGAGUGCAGAAGAGGAAAGUGGAAUUCCAUGUGUAGCGGUGAAAUGCGCAGAGAUAUGGAGGAACACCAGUGGCGAAGGCGACUUUCUGGUCUGUAACUGACGCUGAUGUGCGAAAGCGUGGGGAUCAAACAGGAUUAGAUACCCUGGUAGUCC